CUCCUACAACAGACACACUCUGGUGGCUGAUCCGUUCGAGGAUGGCAUCGAUGACUUACUCAUCAAAAAGCAGAAGAUGAUCGAGCUGGAGAAGAAGAUUAAAGACAUGAAUAACUACCUGACGGUGCCUGCUGCCCCCCCCGACUCCCCCACCAUGUGUAGAGCCAGGUUGUCCUCAGGCAAAGAUACUGAUUUCAAACCUGCUCAGCAGCAAAACGGAAACAAAACCGGGCCAG